CAUGGGUAGCUUGUGAAGGUCCCUUGGUAUAUUUUGGAAGUGUUUGGAUGAAAUCGGAGUGAAAACGGAAAAUUUAGAAUUUUCUGUAAAGAACGGGAUUGAGAAAAUUAGCAGAAAAUGCACAGUGUCAGAAAAUUAUGAAAAUUGGCAAAGAUGUCAGGAACAGUUUUAUGAGGCUAGAUUUGAAGUUUCAGAUUUUUCUGACACCUGUAUAGAGAGAAAUAGCAUUUGGAAGUUAUCGAAUAAUGAUUACAGUUCGGGACAGUUCGCAGUGACCAAACGGGGUCGAAAUUGAAAUGUUAAAAUUGCAGUGGACUUGUUAAGUAAGAGUGAACAUUCCUGUCAAAUUUGAGCUCAAUCGGACUGUCGGAAGAGCCUACGAAAGGUAUUUGAUCCGAGUUUCGCAACGGACUUAAGUCGAGGGGCAUUAUGGUCAUUUAUCACUAAGUUAGUGGAUUUCCACUAAUCUGGCAGCAGGGAGGCCUUCAUUCUUAUCCCCUCUGCUUCACUCUGGUUCCAUACGUAGAAAGAGAGAGAAGGAGAAAAGAGAGAGAAGAAGAAAAGAAGAGAAAAGAGAAGCAGGAGAAGAAAAGGAAGAAGAAAAAGGUAAGAAAUUUAAUCUCUCUCCCUCUCUCCUUGCUAUCUUUUUCCCCCUCACUCUUCUUCCCUGUCAACAGCAGCAGCAGCUCAGCUAGCUGCUGAGCAGGCAGUCAGCAGC
rnacentral:lncRNA from 1 species